rnacentral:rRNA from 1 species
GAUGAACGCUGGCGGCGUGCCUAAUACAUGCAAGUCGAGCGAACGGACGAGAAGCUUGCUUCUCUGAUGUUAGCGGCGGACGGGUGAGUAACACGUGGAUAACCUACCUAUAAGACUGGGAUAACUUCGGGAAACCGGAGCUAAUACCGGAUAAUAUUUUGAACCGCAUGGUUCAAAAGUGAAAGACGGUCUUGCUGUCACUUAUAGAUGGAUCCGCGCUGCAUUAGCUAGUUGGUAAGGUAACGGCUUACCAAGGCAACGAUGCAUAGCCGACCUGAGAGGGUGAUCGGCUACACUGGAACUGAGACACGGCCCAGACUCCUACGGGAGGCAGCAGUAGGGAAUCUUCCGCAAUGGGCGAAAGCCUGACGGAGCAACGCCGCGUGAGUGAUGAAGGUCUUCGGAUCGUAAAACUCUGUUAUUAGGGAAGAACAUAUGUGUAAGUAACUGUGCACAUCUUGACGGUACCUAAUCAGAAAGCCACGGCUAACUACGUG